GUGGCGGGCGGCCGGGAGAGGCAUGCAGUCGGACGUGAAAGACUUCGGUCGAGUAAAGUGGCGUAAGGGUGAGUAACACGUAACUAACCUGCCCUCGAGAUGGGGACAACCACUGGAAACGGUGGCUAAUACCCAAUGCCGUACCUUUGUCACAAGACGUUGGUACGAAACGGACGGGAUCCUUCGGGACCGUCUGCUCUUGGCGGGGGUUGCGGCCUAUCAGCUAGUUGGUGAGGUAACGGCUUACCAAGGCGAUGACGGGUAGCCGGUCUGAGAGGAUGGUCGGCCACACUGGGACUGAGACACUGCCCAGACUCCUACGGGAGGCUGCAGUCGAGGAUCUUCCGCAAUGGACGAAAGUCUGACGGAGCGACGCCGCGUGGAGGACGAAGGCCUUCGGGUUGUAAACUCCUGUCGGGACCCAAAGAAACGGCGGCGGUGAAUAAUCGCCGUCUUGACACUAGGUUCGGAGGAAGCACCGGCUAACUCUGUGCCAGCAGCCGCGGUAAGACAGAGGGUGCAAACGUUGCUCGGAAUCACUGGGCAUAAAGCGCACGUAGGCAGUUGUGCAAGUGCGGUGUGAGAUCCCCCGGCCUAACCGGGGAACUGCUCCGCAUACUGCACGGCUAGAGCUUGGGAGGGGAGAGUGGAACUCCUGGUGGAGCGGUGGAAUGCGUAGAUAUCAGGAGGAACGCCGGAGGUGAAGACGACUCUCUGGCCCAAUGCUGACGCUAAGGUGCGAAAGCUAGGGGGAGCAAAACGGGAUUAGAUACCCCGGUAGUCCUAGCCCUAAACGAUGGGGCACUAGCUAGGGGGGGAUACCUAUUGUCCUCUCUGGCGAAGCAAAUGUGAUAAAGUGCCCCCGCCUGGGGGAGUACGGUCGCAAGGCUUAAAACUCAAAGGAAUUGACGG
rnacentral:rRNA from 1 species